rnacentral:sRNA from 2 species
CGCACACCGGGGCCGUGGCCAGUACGACACCGCUUUGACAGGAGCGGGGGACCCAACUCUGGAACCGCCGUGCGCGGUUCCUCGGGGCGUGGGACCGACACGAUCGGUCCAGGGGCACUCCAGCCCAAGCCCGACAGCUCACCCCGUAGGCACUGGAGGAUCUACAU